rnacentral:rRNA from 1 species
CGAUAGACUUCGGUCUAGAGUGGCGGACGGCUGAGUAACGCGUAGGAAACCUGUCCCACAGUGGGGGAUAACCCGCCGAAAGGUGGGCUAAUACCGCAUACGUUCCCGUGGUGAGAGACCACGGGAGGAAAGCCGCAAGGCGCUGGGGGAGGGGCCUGCGUCCUAUCAGGUAGUUGGUGAGGUAACGGCUUACCAAGCCUACGACGGGUAGCUGGUCUGAGAGGACGACCAGCCAGACGGGGACUGAGACACGGCCCCGACUCCUACGGGAGGCAGCAGCGAGGAAUCUUGGGCAAUGGGCGAAAGCCUGACCCAGCGACGCCGCGUGGGGGAAGAAGGCCUUCGGGUCGUAAACCCCUUUUGCCGGGGAAGAAGCUCUGACGGUGCCCGGCGAAUAAGCCACGGCUAACUACGUGCCAGCAGCCGCGGUAAUACGUAGGUGGCAAGCGUUGUCCGGAUUUACUGGGCGUAAAGGGCGUGUAGGCGGUUCGUUAAGUCCGGUGUGAAAUCUCCCGGCCCAACUGGGAGAGGUCAUCGGAUACUGGCAAACUAGAGAUAGGCAGAGG